UACGUAGGGUGCGAGCGUUAAUCGGAAUUACUGGGCGUAAAGCGUGCGCAGGCGGUUCGUUGUGUCGGCGGUGAAAGCCCCGGGCUCAACCUAGGAAUGGCCGUUGAAACUGGCGAACUGGAGUGUGGCAGAGGGGGGUGGAAUUCCGCGUGUAGCAGUGAAAUGCGUAGAGAUGCGGAGGAACACCGAUGGCGAAGGCAGCCCCCUGGGCUGACACUGACGCUCAGGCACGAAAGCGUGGGGAGCAAACAGG
rnacentral:rRNA from 1 species